GCGGAUGUGGCGGAACGGCAGACGCAGUAGACUCAAAAUCUACCGGGCUCAACACCCGUGGGGGUUCAAGUCCCUUCAUCCGCA
rnacentral:tRNA from 1 species